rnacentral:sRNA from 1 species
GGACCUGGGUGACUGGGAGGCCACCGAGCGGGCGCUGGGCAGCGUGGGCCCCGUGGACCUGCUGGUGAACAACGCCGCUGUCGCCCUGCUGCAGCCCUUCCUGGAGGUCACCAAGGAGGCCUUUGACAGAUCCUUUGAGGUGAACCUGCGUGCGGUCAUCCAGGUGUCACAGGUGAGCUGCCCUGUGGGCUGGACGGGAAUUCUCGUGAGUGAUGCCAGCUCUGCCUCACGGUCUCGCUGCAAUUCCAGAUUGUGGCCAGGGGCUUAAUAGCCCGGGGAGUCCCAGGGGCCAUCGUGAAUGUCUCCAGCCAGGGCUCCCAGCGGGCAGUAACUAACCAUAGCGUCUACUGCUCCACCAAGGGUGCCCUGGACAUGCUGACCAAGGUGAUGGCCCUAGAGCUCGGGCCCCACAAGGUGAGCAGGGCUGGGGUACCUCCCCCAACCUAGGGCACCCCACUUGCCCUGCUGACCCCAGCUGUCCCGGUGUAGAUCCGAGUGAAUGCAGUAAACCCCACAGUGGUGAUGACGCCCAUGGGCCAGGCCGCCUGGAGUGACCCCCACAAGGCCAAGACUAUGCUGGACCGAAUCCCACUUGGCAAGUUUGCUGAGGUAGAGCACGUGGUGGACGCCAUCCUCUUUCUGCUGAGUGACCGAAGUGGCAUGACCACGGGCUCCACUUUGCCGGUGGAAGGGGGCUUCUGGGCCUGCUGAGCUCCCUCCACACACCUCAAACCCCAUGCCGUGCUCAUCCUACCCCCAAUCCCUCCAAUAAACCUGAUUCUGCUGCCCA